GCGGAUGUGGCGGAAUGGUAGACGCGCUAGGUUCAGAGCCUAGUGUUCGCAAGAGCGUGAGGGUUCGAGUCCCUCCAUCCGCACCA
rnacentral:tRNA from 1 species